GAUUGAAUAUCUUUCUAUAUUUUGCAAUUUUCAUUCUGAUUAUAGCUUUUAUUCUACAUAUGUGUUUAUUUUAUUAUUAUUAUUAUUAUUUUCUCUUUCUUAGGACGUUUGCUAGAUUUUCACUGGAUUUGUUCAGACAUCCCACUGCUGUUAAUAAGAGUUUUGAAACAGAAUAGAGCCAAUGAGUGCAUUCUACUGAGACAGAAGACACUGUACAACUUCAGACCACAGAAAACUGGCACUGACAUUCUCAGGAAAUCAGAAAGAAGUGUCAAGCAAAUUCCUUCUUAAAUUCAAAAUAAAUCAGACACAGAUCUAAAAACUGG
rnacentral:lncRNA from 1 species